rnacentral:rRNA from 1 species
AUUGAACGCUGGCGGCAGGCUUAACACAUGCAAGUCGAGCGAGCGGCGGACGGGUGAGUAAUGUCUGGGAAACUGCCUGAUGGAGGGGGAUAACUACUGGAAACGGUAGCUAAUACCGCAUCCCAUCAGCUGUGCCCAGAUGGGAUUAGCUAGUGGGUGGGGUAAUGGCUCACCCAGGCGACGAUCCCUAGCUGGUCUGUGCGGAUGACCAGCCACACUGUAACGGAGACACGGUCCAGACCCCGCCGGGAGGCACCAGUGGGGAAUAUUACACAGUGGGCGCAGGGCGUAUCGAGCCAUGCCGCGUGUGGGAAGAAGGCCUUCAGGUUGUAAAGCACUUUCAGCGAGGAGGCGUUACUCGCAGAAGAAGCACCGGCUAACUCCGUGCCAGCAGCCGCGGUAAUAC